rnacentral:rRNA from 1 species
GCUGGGUUCAGAACGUCGUGAGACAGUUCGGUCCCUAUCCGUCGUGGGCGUAGGAAAUUUGAGAGGAGCUGUCCUUAGUACGAGAGGACCGGGAUGGACAUACCUCUGGUGUACCAGUUGUCGUGCCAACGGCAUAGCUGGGUAGCUAUGUAUGGACGGGAUAAGUGCUGAAAGCAUCUAAGCAUGAAGCCCCCCUCAAGAUGAGAUUUCCCAACUUCGGUUAUAAGAUCCCUCAAAGAUGAUGAGGUUAAUAGGUUCGAGGUGGAAGCGUGGUGACACGUGGAGCUGACGAAUACUAAUCGAUCGAAGACUUAAUCAAUUU